GACAGUAUCCAUCAUAUAUUCAUCAUAUAUGAUGCUAUAUUGACAUUGUCGGACGAGUACUCCAAUGAACUCACAAAAACUGGAUUUAAACUUCUUCCACUGGGGACCAGCCAUAGUUAGAGGAUAAUCUCCACUGUCCUCAUCAAAUUCUUCUGUCAUUUUUCGGAUUAUUUCAGAAUUCUGCAUGUGUCGGAACAUCUCUGCUGUAACAACUCCUUUGCAACCCGAACACUGAAUAAAAAAAUUGAUGAGAUCAAGAAGUGCUAUAUCCCUGUCAUGUUUGUAUGACUCUAUCCAGUCAUCCACUACAGACUGCAUAGCACUCUUGCCCAUUUUAACUACUUCAAACAACAUCAUGUUUUCCACACCAUUCUGUUGGUGAUGUCCAUUCAUCCGAUUUGGACCACCAGGUUUCCCUCCUCCGUUUCCACUUUUCCCCUUUUCCGCUGGUCCUUUUUUACCUUUUUUACAGGUUUUUCCUUUGCCUUGUUUUUGGUUUUUUCCUUCAAUAUCCUCAAAGUCUGUAUCAGAAGAGAAGUGUGUUUCAGACUCCUGGAGGAGAGUAAAAUCAGUUGGUAUUUCUGGAGCUGCUAUCAUUUCUUUAUCAUCUUCUGGAACACCACUGUAUUAGAAAGAUAUUCAAAAACCAGGCUGAAAUACAGGCUUACUUUCCUUUCUUCCUUUGCUGCAGUCAACUUCUUGCCCAGCGUAGGCGCAGGCGGCGAGGAGGCCCGGGCGCGGCGCCGCGCUCCUCCGUCCCCGGCUCGGCCGCCGCUCGCGCGCCCGGCCCGGCCCGGAGACGUGCCGGCGGGGGGGUCUGGGCCCGGCGGGGAGCGGGCAGGUUAUUUAAUUUGGCGGCGGCGCCGGGGAUUGUUUGGGGUGUUCGCGGCUCGGCGGCUCGCGAGCGAAUGGAGGGCGCAGGCG
rnacentral:lncRNA from 1 species